rnacentral:snoRNA from 1 species
CACAUAUUUUACACACUUUCGGAUUACCAGCGCUCUCAUGGAUGCCUCUAUAUGAUGCUUAGUGCAAAAAUGGCCGAAAGGAGAAGAAAGAAUAUCCAUGUAUAAUCCACUUCUUGGUGCUGGGCUCUUUUUGAGCUCAUCGGUCUGAGAAUUAGGUUCGCUUGUGGACGACAUAU